GACGAACGCUGGCGGCGUGCUUAACACAUGCAAGUCGAACGGUAAGGCCCUUCGGGGUACACGAGUGGCGAACGGGUGAGUAACACGUGGGUGAUCUGCCCUGCACUUCGGGAUAAGCCUGGGAAACUGGGUCUAAUACCGGAUAGGACUCCUGGCUUCAUGGUUGGGGGUGGAAAGCUUUUGCGGUGUGGGAUGGGCCCGCGGCCUAUCAGCUUGUUGGUGGGGUAAUGGCCUACCAAGGCGACGACGGGUAGCCGGCCUGAGAGGGUGACCGGUCACACUGGGACUGAGAUACGGCCCAGACUCCUACGGGAGGCAGCAGUGGGGAAUAUUGCACAAUGGGCGCAAGCCUGAUGCAGCGACGCCGCGUGAGGGAUGACGGCCUUCGGGUUGUAAACCUCUUUCAGCUAUGACGAAGCGCAAGUGACGGUAGUAGCAGAAGAAGGACCGGCCAACUACGUGCCAGCAGCCGCCGCCG
rnacentral:rRNA from 1 species